CCCCCUCCCCUCCUGCCUUCCCAACCUGUUGGCAGCUGCCCGUAUCUAGCAGUGAAAAUCACCCCUGCUAUCCCCGUGGUUGGUGGCAUCCUGUUCUUCUUUGUGAUGGGGACCCUGCUCCGCACCAGCUUCAGCGACCCCGGAGUCCUCCCACGAGCCACACCUGAUGAAGCUGCUGACCUGGAAAGGCAAAUAGACGUCGCUAACGGCACCAGUUCGGGGGGGUACCGCCCGCCUCCCAGAACCAAAGAGGUCAUCAUCAAUGGCAGACUGUGAAACUGAAAUACUGUUUCACCUGCAAGAUUUUCCGGCCCCCUCGUGCCUCCCACUGCAGCCUUUGCGAUAACUGCGUAGAACGGUUUGAUCACCACUGUCCCUGGGUAGGCAACUGUGUGGGGAAAAGAAACUACAGAUUUUUUUAUAUGUUUAUUUUAUCUCUGUCUUUUCUGACGGUCUUUAUAUUUGCACUGGUUAUCACCCACGUCAUUCUUCGUAAGUAUGCUGGCGAAACGAUACGUACGCUACCGUUGCCGACCUUGGCCUUCUGAUUUAAUUUUGAUUUAGUAUUUUGGUCGUUUCAGGCUUUCUCUUCCGCUCCUUCCUCCAGCCUGCCCUGCAGCUCCUCACCUCCUGCUCCCCUCUCCAUCCCUCCCCUGCCCCUUUCGCUCUCCACCCCACCCCAUCCUCCCACUGGCACUUGCCAGGGUC